rnacentral:rRNA from 1 species
CCUACGGGUGGCAGCAGUGGGGGAUAUUGCACAAUGGGGGGAACCCUGAUGCAGCGACGCCGCGUGUGGGAAGACGGUCCUCUGGAUUGUAAACCACUAUCCCCAGGGACGAAAAUGACGGUACCUGGGGAGGAAGCUCCGGCUAACUACGUGCCAGCAGCCGCGGUAAUACGUAGGGAGCGAGCGUUGUCCGGAAUUACUGGGGGUAAAGGGAGCGUGGGCGGGGAUCAAAGUUGGGUUGCAAAACUACCGGCUCAACUGGUAGUCGCACUCAAAACUGCAGCUCUUGAGUGAAGUAGAGGCAGGCGGAAUUCCUAGUGUAGCGGUGAAAUGCGUAGAUAUUAGGAGGAACACCAGUGGCGAAGGCGGCCUGCUGGGCUUUUACUGACGCUGAGGCUCGAAAGUGUGGGGAGCAAACAGGAUUAGAUACCCGAGUAGUC